UAUGCAAAUAUGCAAGACUCCAGCAUAUAAAGAAUUGGACAAUUUAUCAUUCUCUACCUUAUCUAAAUCAGCCCAAUGAAAAUGGAUUUUAUGUUAUUUUUCGUGGUGUUUUCCCCAAUAAGUGUCCUCUGUCAGACACUACAGGAGUCAGGACCAGGACUUGUGAAACCUUCACAGAAACUCGAUCUGACCUGUACAGUGUCUGGGUUUGAGUUAACCAGCUAUGCUGUAAGCUGGAUCAGACAACAUCCUGGGAAAGGACUGGAAUGGAUUGGACAAAUAUGGAGCAAUGGCAACACCUAUUAUGCUGAUUCAAUGAAGAGUAGAACGACCAUCACAAAAGACAACUCCAAGAAGCAGGUCUAUCUCCAGAUGAAUAACAUGGAGGCUGCAGAUUCUGGAACAUAUUAUUGUACAAGACACACAUAG